rnacentral:rRNA from 1 species
GGGUACGGGGAUUAGGGUUCGAUUCCGGAGAGGGAGCCUGAGAAACGGCUACCACAUCUAAGGAAGGCAGCAGGCGCGCAAAUUACCCAAUCCUAAUACAGGGAGGUAGUGACAAGAAAUAACAAUACAGGACUUUUUGGUUUUGUAAUUGGAAUGAGUUAAGUAUAAACCCCUUUACAAGUAUCAAUUGGAGGGCAAGUCUGGUGCCAGCAGCCGCGGUAAUUCCAGCUCCAAUAGCGUAUAUUAAAGUUGUUGCAGUUAAAAAGCUCGUAGUUGGAUUUCUGUUAAUAAUUUAUAUAAAAUAUUUUGAUGAAUAUUUAUAUAAUAUUAACAUAAUUCAUAUUACUAUAUAUUUUAGUAUAUGAAAUUUUACUUUGAGAAAAUUAGAGUGCUUAAAGCAGGCAUAUGCCUUGAAUACUCCAGCAUGGAAUAAUAUUAAAGAUUUUUAUCUUUCUUAUUGGUUCUAAGAUAAGAAUAAU